ACAUUGACAGGCUUGACAGCUGCCACUGCCACUGUCAAUAGUGUCAAUAAAAUUUUCGCGGUAUCCCCAUUCCCCAAUAUCUGUCGUUUUUCUGUCUUGUCUCUUGUGUUGUGUGUGAUUCUGCGCUAAACUUUUGUUGAGAAUAAGUUUUAAAACAGUGUUAAAAGGUGUUUUGACUGUUAGAUUCCUUAAAUUUAAAAUGGAAAGUGACUUAAGUGACGAAGAAUACGAAGAUGGGACUGUUCGCGUGGUAAAAAAACGUAAAGUAGAAAAACGUGCACAAAAAUAUAAAUUUCAAUGGGAAGCCGAUUUCCCUUGGCUAAAGAAGGAUGAAACUAACGAUUUUAAUGCAAAAUGCACAGCGUGUGGUGUUGUUAUUGUUAUCGGAACAGGUGGCGUAGGUCAGAUAAAGCAACAUGAGAAUACUAAUACACACAAAAAAAGAAUGGAAAUUAAAAAAACAUCUGGGCUCUUAAGUAAAUUCCUGACAACUCCAUCUACAUCUAACACUGCAUGUCUCAACAAUAACACUGAGAAUGUUUCAGCGGCUGAGCUUGCCUUGACAUAUCAUGCUAUAAAACAUAAUCUUUCAUACAACAGUAUGGAUUGUCUAGUGAAAUUAAAUAAAAUUAUCUACGUUGACUCAAGCACAGCCACCAGCAUACGGUUAGGCCGAACAAAAAUGGAAGCUUUAGUGACUGAGGUGUUGGGGCCAU